rnacentral:lncRNA from 1 species
GACCAGAUCAAGUUUUGCGUUGGACCUUUUAUUGGAUGUAAUUUGUGUCAUUUUUCCCGAGUAGAUGUAUUUCAUGGGGAUAUUGAGCGGGAAGGAGUAAAAAAGAGAUGGUAUAAUGUAGUGAAAGGAAAGUCAUCUCUCUUCUGCUGUCACGUGGGUGGGUCAGUAAGGUACAGUGUAAAGCGAAAAAAAAAGGUAAAUCAUUUCUCUUCUGGUGUUACGUGGCGCUUUCUCGGUGUGAACACAUCAGCUGUUAUUUUCUUGGUGUGAACGUGAUGCGGGACCACAGCAGCUGUGGGGACGCACUUUCUAUGCCGGAUGGUGCGAGCGCAACCCCCUGGCCGCCCCCUUCAACGAAUAGCUCAUCUUGCACACACUGCACUCGCACCAGCUACGAGUCUAACGAACAACGGAACAUGCAAGAUCCACCGAUCACAACCGAAUUAACGCUUCCGGCGACGCCCUCGCGCGCGCUCAACUAGAUCGAUCACCAGCGGCGGGCGGCGCGUGCCGCCGUCCUGCCGCCGCCACCUUUGCAGGCGCGGACGCAGGAGAAGACCCGGAACGCCCGCGACAGCGUCAUCUUGCUCUUGCUCUUCUUCGUCUUGGUCUUCUUCGCCUUGCUCUUCUUGCCGCCGGCGACGCGCCGCCACAGCGCGCCCAGGGACGACGUCCUCCGCCGCGCCGGCCUCGCCGCUGUCGCCGUCGUCUUCUUCUUCCUCUGCCACAGCGACGCCAUCAAUUAAAUCUCGCUGCUAGUCAAAAACUUCAAGGUGUAAGAGUAAACAAGUAGAGGAUUACUCGAUUUGUGUUUGUGCUCUUUUCUGUCCGCAUAUGCGAUCAAUUUAUAUGCGUCGCAUUUCCGGAUGGAGCAGGUA